AUUGAACGCUGGCGGCCGGCCUAACACAUGCAAGUCGCGCGACCGGCGGCCGGGUGAUUCAUGCAUGGGCAUCUGCCUUAUGGCGGGGGAUAACUACUGGACACUGUAGCUAAUACCGCAUCCCAUCAGAUGAACCCAUAGGGGAUUAGCUGGUAGGUAAGGUAAAGGCUUACCUAGGCGACGAUCCCUAGCUGGUCUGAGAGGAUGAUCAGCCACACUGGGACUGAGACACGGCCCAGAGUCCUACGGGAGGCAGCAGUGGGGAAUAUUGCACAAUGUGUGAGAGCCUGAGGGAGCCAUGCCGGGUGAAUGAAGAAGGCCUUCGGGUUGUAGAGGACUUUCAGUCGGGAGGCGUUACCCGCAGAGGAGGCACCGGCUAACUCCGUGCCAGCAGCCGCGGUAAUAC
rnacentral:rRNA from 1 species